UGGGUCUCGCUCGUUGCCUGACUUAACAGGAUGCUUCACAGUACGAACUGGCGACGGCCAUGCACCUCCUCUCAGCGAUUCAGGCAAGGUCUUCAGCCUGGCCUACAUUUUGCUGUCGUCCCCGGUGAGUUGUCCGGCGUUGAGUCCAAUUAAACCGCAGGCUCCACCCGUUGUUGUGCUCCCCCGCCAAUUCCUUUAAGUUUCAGCCUUGCGGCCGUACUUCCCAGGUGGCUCGCUUCACGGCUUCCCUGCGGCACCAGACACGGUCGCGCCAUGCCUGACACCUAGCGAGCAUCGUUUACGGCUAGGACUACCCGGGUAUCUAAUCCGGUCCGUGCCCCCAGCUUUCGUCCCUCACCGUCAGAACCCGUUCUGGUAAGACGCCUUCGCCACAGGUGGUCCUUCACAGGGAUUACAAGAUUUCACCCCUACCCCUGAAGUACCUCUCACCUCUCCCGGCCUCCAAGCCAGACAGUAUCCCCCGAAAGCCUAACAGUUAAGCUACCAGAUUUCCCAAGAGGACUGAUCCAAACCGGCUACAGACCCUUUAGACCCAAUAAUAACGGUUACCACUCGAGCCGCCGGUGUUACCGCGGCGGCUGGCACCGGUCUUGC
rnacentral:rRNA from 1 species